GGCGUUCGAGCGAGCGAGAGAGAGAGCGCGGCAAUUUUCCCCUGAAGUUCGGUUGUUGGAGACUUAAUAUACGCUGUAUAUAGGCCCACACUAACUUUUUCCCAUUUUUUUUCUUUCAAGUCUAACGGUGUUUGUUAGCGUGAAAGUAGACAUUGUCUGUGUGUUUCGGUUCUGUGAGGAGCUCCAGCUCCAGGCUGUAUCGCUAAACUGGCUGCUUCUCAACGAAGAGGACUGAACUCUCCACGCUGCUGCUGUGUGGAUGGACAAAGAGGACCAGAGUCUUAACAAAGAUCAUCGCAUUUUGUGUGAGACGCGAGUAGGUGCUUGUGGGCGCUUCGGCUCAUCUCCAUAUGAGUCAUGGACUUUCAUGCUGUCCUGCAGCAGGUGUCACUAUGUUCUGCUGUUACAGCUGCUGACAGUCAUAGCUGGCUCUUUUCCUUCAGUAAAGGUGAAUCUUCAUGAGGCUGCUACUCUCCCCUGCACUCAGACGUGUUCUGGUCUGGUCACAUGGACUGUGUCCUAUAAACAACUUGACAUUCUGGCUCAGUGUAACCAGACAUCCUGCCAGUCAGAGGAGGGAUUUCACAUGUCCCAUGAUCAGUACCUGAAGGGAGAUCUCUCCCUCACCAUCACUGAUGCUGAUUACACUAAGAGGACCUGGUACACCUGCGCUUGUAAUGGUAAAGACAUCUGUGAUGUGAGUCUACAGAUAGAGGGAACUGGAGCUGAACUGCCUCUGUCCCACAAUCCCUCUCGAUCCCAUCACAGUGACCACUCUGACGUCCAGCCACGUCCAGAUCAGAGCUCCACAGUGACGGUGUUGACGGUGCUCCUGGCUCUGACGGGGGCGGGGCUUGUGGCAGCAGUGCUGGUAAUUGUGCAGCUGAGGAAAAAAAUUCAGGAGCUCUAGAAAGGAAGUACAGUGAAUGGAACAGUAACCAUGACAACAGAGGAGUUAAUAUGAAUGGACUAAACCACUCAGAUGAAGAGCAAAGGUGAUCUCCCAAUAAUAACCAUGAGAGUCUGAGAUAAGAUAAAUGAUUUGCCUGUCUUAUACACACACACACAAACGUAUCCACACUGCCUUUCUCUGUCCCAUUCAGGGGACAAAGACCAGUGUAUGGAAACAGGCCUGCUUCAUGUCAUUUGGUUUUGAGCGAGGCUGACAGACCCUGUGGUGUCUACUGUUUUACCAGCUGGCUAUUAUUAAAUGCAGCUGCUAGUUACCAGUGUCUGUAAUCUGGCUAAUGACAAGAUCACUAGAGUUAGAGCUGAGAAACAUAUUGAAGGAAGAUGAAUCAACAGUCAUUAAGUAACUAGAAAGUAAAGAGUGUAUACAAACUGAGUUAUUUCUAUCAGUAUAAUUUUCUUUAUGAAGUGCAGAUAUGUACUUAACUAUGUUUAUUGUAUGAGUAAUAAGAUGAACAUUUGAUGAAGGGAUUAAUGAAAGGAGAAGAGAGGAGGACUAAACAGAUGAAUGCUGUUGGUAUAAUAUGCAGUUUGGUGCUUGAGGUCCACUGUUGAGUUUCUCUGCCAAGCCUGGUGGCUGUAGCCAGGGAGAUAAAAUAUCAGUGGAUUUCUGAGCAAUGAUGGAGGGAUGAAAAAUUAUAGAAGGAUUGCAUACAUGAGUGUGAUUAAAAUUAAUGAAAGCAUGGAAGGGGUUGAUAAACAAAUGUUGUCAGUACAAAAUGCAAUUUGCUGCCAGGAGUUGCUUAAUGUUUGUCUUUACAAAAUUAAUUUUUCAUUCCUCUGUUUGUACUACUUUGAGCCAAAGAUGUUUUAAAGUUUUGCUCAGAAAUAUUAAUGAGGUGUUUAUUCUCUGUGCCUCUGUAAAUCCAUACACUUCCCUUGCAGUGCCUUAUGGGUAAAGACCUGCCAUGUGUUUAUCUCAGAGAUAUAAGAUGUAAUGCUGUUUAUUUUGAAAUACAAGAAGAAAUCAUGAUUUAUGGAACUUUUUGUCUAGAUUUAUUACUGUAUUUUGAUACCUGAUGCAUUGUUACCAGAAUAUAAUCUUUUACAUACAUCUAUGGUCUGUUUAUCUUGAAGCUGUCAAUUACAGUCUGAUUUGAUAUUUUGAAUAAGGAAAUGUUACAAGUCUCAGUUUGAAUACAAUUCAUUACACUAACAACAGACACAAAAUGAAUACUUUGCUAUGAUGUGUGAGGUGUUUUAAGUGUUUGAUAAUUUGGGGGUGUCUGGAAAUUAUACAUGUGAAAAUUAUUUCUUGACAAGUUUUAGCAAGUAAAAACAACACACUGAAAGAAAAAAAAAAGAUCUGUGGAUUUAUGUUAGAGGACCAACUGGAUAAAUAUGUAAUGUUGCUUUAAAAAUGUAUUGAUUUAAAACUCAGUAUUUCAGAACCAAG
ensembl:lncRNA